GGAAAUCAAACGGCAUUAAAUGUUUAGUGCAAGAAACCUUCUUCUUCCCAAACACUCAGACUUUUGAUUUCAGCUUCUCCAAAACGUGAACGAUGUAGAUCAAGCUGUAUUGUACAAAAAAUAAGAAUCUAGAGAAGUCCGGACGCUGUUCCACCAAUUUACAUUCACACCAUUACCGACAUCAAUCGGUAGCCUUAUAAUUGUCUUCGCUAAGAUUCUAUCUCAACCGACAUUAAUCGGUAGCCUUAUAAUUGUCUUCGGGAAGAUUCCACCUCAACCGACAUCAAUCGCUAAAGCUAUCGAAAAUCUUCCAUCAGCAUCAGUGUUCACGCCAAGAAGGAAAUCAUGAGAUCAAUAUUUGUACGUGAUAUAAAGAGUUUUGACUUUAAUCUAAAACUAAGAGCCCGAGUGACAAGGAUAUGGAUACCAAAAAAGUAUGAUGGUGAGACGAAUGAUGGUCUUCACUAUGUUUUACUUGAUGAAAAGAGAAUGAGGUACCUCAUCUGGAAGAAAAAAUGGAAGAAGGCUAUGUAUAUGACAUCUACCCAUUUCAUACAAAAGGACAUCCAUCAAAAUACAUGGUCAUCAAUUAUGAGGCAGUGGCUUAUUUCAAUCAAAAGACAAAGUUCACCCGAGUUGAAAACAGCUUUCCACCAAUACCUUGAUAUUCGUUCUUCCUCCUUGAGUUUGAUCACCUGAAAGAAGCCAUGAAAGACCAGAAAGUGCUUAUAGAUGUCUAUGGCUGUUUGAAAUAAGUGGUACCCGACUAUUGAACACCUGUGAGAAACCAAGAUAAAAUGGAAUCCAAAUCUGAAAUCAUACUGGAAAAUCUCAAACGACAAGAUCUGAGAAUCACUAUGUGGGGAGAUGUUGCAAGACGCUUUGAUCUAGAAGGAAUUCAAAAGCACCCUCCACCGGUGUUAGUAGUGUUUACAAGCUUGAGACUUACUGAAUUCCAAGAGCGAAUCACCCCAUCAACUACAAACGACACCUGCGUCAUCAUAGAUCCAGAUAUUCCACAGAAACAAGAAUACAAGAAAGAAUUCUCAAAACCGGGUGACAAGCUGAAAGUGAUUCCAAAUUUGUCAAGACAAGCAAUAGAAGAAGAGGCACAAAAGCAAACGAGAAAGGCUGUUUCUUAAGUAAAUGCGCUGGAUCCAAAAUUAUACAUGAAUAAGAAGAUCUAUUCUGCCGCUACAAUCGUUAGAUUUCGUACACAUACCAAUUGGUGGUACAAAGGAUGUCCCACUUGCCGCAAGUACCUAAAAUACAAAGAAGACAACAAUCAGUUCAUCUGUACCGAGCAUGACAUUCAAGUCCCUCUUCCAUGUUACAAGCUUCACAUGACAAUUGAAGAUAGGGAGAACCAAGCAACAGUUGUCCUUCUUGGAAACUAAGCUGAACAGAUAUUUGGCAUAAGCUAUUCUGAACUGGUGAAUAAAACUUCAUUUCCAGAUGAACAAGCACUCCCAG